rnacentral:rRNA from 1 species
CCGCGGCGCUUUGGGAGGGGCCUGCGGUCCAUCAGCUAGUUGGUAGGGUAAUGGCCUACCAAGGCGACGACGGAUAGGGGACCUGAGAGGGUGACCCCCCACACUGGCACUGAAACACGGGCCAGACGCCUACGGGUGGCAGCAGUAAGGAAUAUUGCCCAAUGGACGAAAGUCUGAGGCAGCAACGCCGCGUGCGCGAUGAAGGCCUUCGGGUCGUAAAGCGCUUUUAGGGAGGAUGAGGAAGGACAGUACUCCCAGAAUAAGGUACGGCUAACUACGUGCCAGCAGCCGCGGUAAAACGUAGGUACCGAGCGUUAUCCGGAUUCACUGGGCGUAAAGCGCGUGCAGGUGGUUUGGUAAGUCGGGCAUGAAAACUCUUGGCUCAACUGAGAGACGCUGUCCGAUACUGCCAGACUUGAGGGUGUGAGAGGGAGGUGGAAUUCCGCGUGUAGUGGUGAAAUGCGUAGAUAUGCGGAGGAACACCAGUGGCGAAGGCGGCCUCCUGGUACACUCCUGAUACUCAGACGCGAAAGCUAGGGGAGCGAACGGGAUUAGAAACCCCGGUAGUCCUAGCCGUAAACGAUGAUUACUAGGUGUUAGUGGUAUCAAGCCCACUAGUGCCGAAGCUAACGCGAUAAGUAAUCC